GGGUGCGAUCAUACCAGCACCAAUGCACCGGAUCCAUGCCCC
rnacentral:rRNA from 1 species